CUGCCACGAUCCACUGAG
rnacentral:snRNA from 1 species